rnacentral:rRNA from 1 species
CAAUAGCGUAUAUUAAAGUUGUUGCAGUUAAAAAGCUCGUAGUUGGAUUUCGGGACGGGCCAGUUGGUCCGCCGCAAGGUGUGUUACUGACUGGUCUGUUCUUCUUCGCAAAGACUGCGUGUGCUCUUCGUUGAGUGUGCGUAGGAUUUACGACGUUUACUUUGAAAAAAUUAGAGUGUUCAAAGCAGGCUAUCGCUUGAAUACAUGAGCAUGGAAUAAUGGAAUAGGACUUUGGUCCUAUUUUGUUGGUUUCUAGGACCGAAGUAAUGAUUAAGAGGGACAAUUGGGGGCAUCCGUAUUUCGUUGUCAGAGGUGAAAUUCUUGGAUUUACGAAAGACGAACAACUGCGAAAGCACUUGCCAAGAGUGUUUUCAUUGA